rnacentral:misc_RNA from 1 species
CGGAAAUGAAAAAGAUACACUUUUUCAAAGAUUUUUACAAAAUGAAUAGGAAUAUUGUGUAUAAGUUUGGAGCUGAUAUAGAACUUGUACGUGACUCCCAAGUUUUGGUGACUUUGACUUAUUGAAGAAUUUUGUCAUGAAGAUUUGACGCAUAUAGUUAGCAAAAGCAAUACAAUUAAUUACUAUUUUCCCCACCACUAACAGCGGCAGAGCUAGACAUUUUAAUUUGAGGGGCCAUGAACAUAAUCGUUUAUUUUAUUAUAUGAAAUACUAAGACGUUGAGAUUUUAUGCAUGAACAAAGACUCCUAGUGUUUCAACCUUCAUAUAUGUAUCACGGGAAAAUGAGAGAACUUUUUUGUUUUUGGGGAGCGGGUCUGCCACCAUGUAGGUCCGUCCGUCAUUGCUCACUAAAGCAUUGCAAAUAAAAAAUGAGUUGAUUUGGAGUAGGUGUAGGUACUCGCUUGCAAUCAAUCACUUUUAGCGCAUGAGUAAUUUCGCUGAGAGCUAUAUAGGCUACAUCUCCAUAUCAAUUGCUGAUCAUUAUUUCAACUUUUGGAUUUUGGCAAGCAUUCAACUGGAUUCUACAAAUAGUUAUGAGCGGACCAUGUUGUGCAUUUUGGCUUGUCAUCGAAUUUGUCAUGAUCAAUUCAUCUAUUUUACAUCUUCAUGUUGUGUUAAUUAAGUGUAAAGAAUUGUUUGGAGUGCUAAGUCAACGGC